ACAGGAACCGCGUCGCCGUCGCCCGCGUUUCCUUGCCCGCCGCAAGACCGGCACGCUCGGCGUCCGGCUGGUAAUCUCGGGCAAGGAAAUCAUUGCUCGUAAUUGAAUCAAAAAGGGUCGCCUGAGAAAUGCGACCCUUUCAAAAAUUUUGGCUGACCUCCAAAAGCCCCCGGAUGUCUUGGGGCGCAUCCCGAAAAGUGGAAACCGGUUUUCGGAAAAGAUGCGCCCAUAAAAGAGGACAUCCGGGUUUAUUUUUU
rnacentral:misc_RNA from 1 species